ensembl:lncRNA
GGAGGAGCCAGAAGUGGAAUCAGGUGAACAGCUCUGUUCCUUGGUCACUCCACUCAUAAAGCAUUUUCUAUUGAAUCUCUUUGAGUCUGAGCAGUACAACUUGUAAAAUCUCUAGUGAAAUAUAAAGAUCACUAAGAUUAGGAAUCCAAAGACCUAAACUAUAGUCCUAGUCCUACAAUCAAGAAGCCUCAUUACCUAACCUCUGUGGAUCCAAAUUUCCUGAUCCAUGAAAUAAGGAUAUGCUUUUCUAGGAAACUGAUUUUCUCUUCAGAAAGUUACCAUGAUUUAGGUAGGUUGCGAACUGGUCCUCUGGUAGGAAGCUUGAUUUUUGCAUAAACCCAGUGCAUGGACAGGAUGCUGUGGUACAGAGAAGCAACUUUCAAAAUAUUUUUAUUUUUUAUCGAAGUUAAAAUCUGGUUCUAAGAAAAUAUAAUCUGUAAGUCCAGUAUACUGGACAGGUUAAAAACUGCUCAAUUCUGGGAGGAGCCAGAAGUGGAAUCAGGUGAACAGCUCUGUUCCUUGGUCACUCCACUCAUAAAGCAUUUUCUAUUGAAUCUCUUUGAGUCUGAGCAGUACAACUUGUAAAAUCUCUAGUGAAAUAUAAAGAUCACUAAGAUUAGGAAUCCAAAGACCUAAACUAUAGUCCUAGUCCUACAAUCAAGAAGCCUCAUUACCUAACCUCUGUGGAUCCAAAUUUCCUCAUCCAUGAAAUAAGGAGAUUGAACUAGGUGCCUUUUAGCUCAAAUAUUUGAAGGAACCAAUAGCAGCUAUGUGUGAAUCACAAAACUCUGCUCUAUGAGUUUUCUACUGCAAAAUAAAGUGCUCUCUCAGGGGUAAAAUUUGCAUGUCUACCUCACAGUUCUAUGUUUUAGGAGUGCUUUUUUUUUUUUUUUUUAUUAUCUUUAAAAUUUUUGCUUUGUGUAGUCUGUUAUUCCUUUGUUCUUCAAAGCUGAAGACAUUUCUUCUCUCUGCUUUUAACAUGAAAUUAAGAGAUAUUUCCCCUCUAUAUUUCCUUCUUGCCAUGUUAAAGCUGAGCUUUAAAAAAAGUCUUUUGUGUAUUAAUUCUUUUCUUUCCAUCCUUUGUACAAAACCAAAGAGAUUGGGAAUAAUGUUUACUGUUGUUAACCCAAGCCCAGUGAACUUAAAUCAUCAUAGAAGGACGAGUCUUUGAGUUCCAUUUGUAGCCCUUGGGCAAAAUUCUGUGGAAAUCAUCCAUACAUAGUGGAGACCCUGCCUCUGUAAGGAGCUGUCUGAUUGGACCUCAGAUAUUGCUUUGUCUAGAAACCUAGGAGUUUAGGGCAUGGGAGGAUUGGUGGAUAGAGAUUGAGUCUUUGCAGAAUACUCUCUCUUGGUUUACUUGAAGCCAGCUGAGCUGAAGGAAGUUCUAUUAAUAUCUUGGAAGGGCUUGGAUCAGCAGGACUUGGCCCUCAGUGGUUCUGGAAUUAAUGAAAAAUAUACCCAUGAGAACCCAUGUGAAGGGUGCCUCCAGAAGUCUAAAAGGGACUCGUUCUUUUAUUAUUAUUAUUAUUAUUAUUAAGUAAACAGUCUUGGGGGAUAUUUACUUUACCCUUGUGUGUCAAGUACUUGUUUACACAAAUAAUGUUGUGAUGACCUCCUUGCUAGGUCUCUCUCUCCCCUUCUGGACCAUGAAUUCCUCAUUGACAGGGCUCAUCUUUUUAUCAUUACAGUCAGUCAGUCAUUCAGUCAGUCAGGUCAGUCGCUCAGUAGUGUCUGACUCUUUGCAACCCCAUGAGCCUCAGCAUGCCAGGCCUCUCUGUCCAUCACCAACU